rnacentral:lncRNA from 1 species
CCCUCCCACCCGGGACCCUCGCGGCCGCCGCGGCGCUUUUAUUUCUCGCUCUCUCUCUUUUUUCAGAACUUCACAGAAAGUCCGUCAUUAAGUCCACAAGUGACGUUUAUUUACGUUAAAUUGUUAUUGAAAACGAUUUUUUUUUCAGGCACGUCAGGGUUUUGAACUCCUGACACUCCGGACACUGCGUGACAUAUACACACACACACACAUAUAUAUAUAUUUAUACACAUAUUGGAGGGUCUUGUUGGAGGCUACAGAUCCGGUGCCGUUUGAUGACGGUCACGUUUAAAGAGGGAGACGUCCAGCAGAUGAAUCCUGCCAAAUCGGACGUGAUGGAGGACAUGGCCAUGCUGACCCACCGGAACGAAGGAGCUGGAAGAUACUGUUCCCUUUCACGUCGGAGGUUCCUUAUAAUAUUGUUGCCUGUUUGGACAAGAAACAGAGAUUCCUUAAUGAAACACUGGUGGGAUGCUUCCAGAGAACUUCCAACAAAUUGCAAUGCUCGCUGUGAGAAUACACGACAGCCGCUGAUCCCAAAUCAGGAGCUAAAGAGAAGCGGAAGAAGGCCGCCUCUUUCCAGACUGUGUCACAGCUCCAUUAGGUGAGUCUGAUGUCAUGUGUUCCCCCACAACUGCUACUAAGCCACCGCCUGGUCUGCCUGGCUGACAUUUACUGCAUCACAUGCUUCAUAUUUUAGGUUACAGCACAUGAGAGAGACAUUGGCAAUGUUGGAUAAUGGACUAAUUUUAAGGCGUAGAGGCUAUUUCGGAUAAAAACCUGCUGCAGCAAAGCUAAUUUGGAUCGGCUGAGCUCAGAGCUUAAUACUCUCACACAAAAAUACCCAUAUGAAGAAGGUCUUCAUAUUUCUUUGUAGAUUUGUGUGGGACUCAUGGAUGUCCAAAAAUGUGCA